rnacentral:rRNA from 1 species
AAAUUGAAGAGUUUGAUCAUGGCUCAGAUUGAACGCUGGCGGCAGGCCUAACACAUGCAAGUCGAACGGUAACAGGAAGCAGCUUGCUGCUUUGCUGACGAGUGGCGGACGGGUGAGUAAUGUCUGGGAAACUGCCUGAUGGAGGGGGAUAACUACUGGAAACGGUAGCUAAUACCGCAUAACGUCGCAAGACCAAAGAGGGGGACCUUCGGGCCUCUUGCCAUCGGAUGUGCCCAGAUGGGAUUAGCUAGUAGGUGGGGUAAAGGCUCACCUAGGCGACGAUCCCUAGCUGGUCUGAGAGGAUGACCAGCCACACUGGAACUGAGACACGGUCCAGACUCCUACGGGAGGCAGCAGUGGGGAAUAUUGCACAAUGGGCGCAAGCCUGAUGCAGCCAUGCCGCGUGUAUGAAGAAGGCCUUCGGGUUGUAAAGUACUUUCAGCGGGGAGGAAGGGAGUAAAGUUAAUACCUUUGCUCAUUGACGUUACCCGCAGAAGAAGCACCGGCUAACUCCGUGCCAGCAGCCGCGGUAAUACGGAGGGUGCAAGCGUUAAUCGGAAUUACUGGGCGUAAAGCGCACGCAGGCGGUUUGUUAAGUCAGAUGUGAAAUCCCCGGGCUCAACCUGGGAACUGCAUCUGAUACUGGCAAGCUUGAGUCUCGUAGAGGGGGGUAGAAUUCCAGGUGUAGCGGUGAAAUGCGUAGAGAUCUGGAGGAAUACCGGUGGCGAAGGCGGCCCCCUGGACGAAGACUGACGCUCAGGUGCGAAAGCGUGGGGAGCAAACAGGAUUAGAUACCCUGGUAGUCCACGCCGUAAACGAUGUCGACUUGGAGGUUGUGCCCUUGAGGCGUGGCUUCCGGAGCUAACGCGUUAAGUCGACCGCCUGGGGAGUACGGCCGCAAGGUUAAAACUCAAAUGAAUUGACGGGGGCCCGCACAAGCGGUGGAGCAUGUGGUUUAAUUCGAUGCAACGCGAAGAACCUUACCUGGUCUUGACAUCCACAGAACCUUGUAGAGAUACGAGGGUGCCUUCGGGAACUGUGAGACAGGUGCUGCAUGGCUGUCGUCAGCUCGUGUUGUGAAAUGUUGGGUUAAGUCCCGCAACGAGCGCAACCCUUAUCCUUUGUUGCCAGCGGUCCGGCCGGGAACUCAAAGGAGACUGCCAGUGAUAAACUGGAGGAAGGUGGGGAUGACGUCAAGUCAUCAUGGCCCUUACGACCAGGGCUACACACGUGCUACAAUGGCGCAUACAAAGAGAAGCGACCUCGCGAGAGCAAGCGGACCUCAUAAAGUGCGUCGUAGUCCGGAUUGGAGUCUGCAACUCGACUCCAUGAAGUCGGAAUCGCUAGUAAUCGUGGAUCAGAAUGCCACGGUGAAUACGUUCCCGGGCCUUGUACACACCGCCCGUCACACCAUGGGAGUGGGUUGCAAAAGAAGUAGGUAGCUUAACCUUCGGGAGGGCGCUUACCACUUUGUGAUUCAUGACUGGGGUGAAGUCGUAACAAGGUAACCGUAGGGGAACCUGCGGUUGGAUCACCUCCUUACCUUAAAGAAGC